rnacentral:rRNA from 1 species
AGUGAACGCUGGCGGUAGGCCUAACACAUGCAAGUCGAACGGCAGCACAGUAAGAGCUUGCUCUUACGGGUGGCGAGUGGCGGACGGGUGAGGAAUACAUCGGAAUCUACUUUUUCGUGGGGGAUAACGUAGGGAAACUUACGCUAAUACCGCAUACGACCUACGGGUGAAAGCAGGGGAUCUUCGGACCUUGCGCGAUUGAAUGAGCCGAUGUCGGAUUAGCUAGUUGGCCGGGUAAUGGCCCACCAAGGCGACGAUCCGUAGCUGGUCGGAGAGGAUGAUCAGACACACUGGAACUGAGACACGGUCCAGACUCCUACGGGAGGCAGCAGUGGGGAAUAUUGGACAAUGGGCGAAAGCCUGAUACAGCCAUACCGCGUGGGUGAAGAAGGCCUUCGGGUUGUAAAGCCCUUUUGUUGGGAAAGAAAAGAAGCAGGUUAAUACACCGCUGUUAUGACGGUACCGAAAGAAUAAGCACCGGCUAACUUCGUG